rnacentral:rRNA from 1 species
UACGGAGGGUGCAAGCGUUAUCCGGAUUCACUGGGUUUAAAGGGUGCGUAGGUGGCUUUGUAAGUCAGUGGUGAAAGCCCGGAGCUUAACUCCGGAACUGCCAUUGAUACUGCUUAGCUUGAAUCAAGUAGAGGUGGAUGGAAUAUUACAUGUAGCGGUGAAAUGCUUAGAGAUGUAAUAGAACACCGAUUGCGAAGGCAGUUCACUAUGCUUGUAUUGACACUGAGGCACGAAAGCGUGGGGAUCAAACAGG